GGAGAAUCUCACAAGAAGAGGGCCUAAAGCUGGAAAGAAAACUCAAGUUGCUUUUGGUCCUGGGGCCACAGCUGCGUCUUCAGUGAUAAGGUCAUAUGGAGUACCCAAGGCUAAGGAUGGAGGUGGUAGUAAAAGCAGCAGCUUAGACCUCAAAGGUUCUAAUGAUUGUGAAAUUAUCACACCUUGGCCUUCCAAGAAGGAUGAAACCGAUGCGUCUUAUGAAGAUGAUACUGAUGUAUCAACUCGAAUUGG